CUCCAUUGGUUACCUCUUAUUGGUCGAAGGGAAUGUCGGUCUGGAGGCACUAAGACCAUUCACAUCUUCUGCCCGCACCCAUGAUACUACGGAAAGCUAAUUGUUCGCUUGCAAAGAAGGCAAAGCUGUGAAGAAAAGGUUGCUCCACAUUCCUGCCCCUCCAAAGGGGUUGUGACCUACAGGCUGGGAGCUGCUCCCUAGUGGCAUUCUCUAAGGCUCAAGGGCCCCAAUUGUCAUACAAUAUCGACCAAAAGCACUUGUUUUCUUAGGAACCUGUGAGUUUGAAAACACUGUCAGAAAUAUAGGCACCUUAGUGUUUUUCCACAAUAUCAUAGUUUAUUGAGUAACAUUAAAUUCACUAGCUUCCUCAUAAGUUUCCUCUGAGAUGGAAACAUUCCAUACUCCAGGAAUGUAACUCCAGGAAGUAUACUCCAAUUAGCUUCAGGAAAUCCCUGAAGCUGACCAGAUUCACUAGGCCCUCCCCUACCAGAGUAAGUAAUUUACAAGCUGAGAAUACCUCUCAAAUGAGAAAGAGCUGAGUUGCAAAGAAGACUCUGAAAUCAG
ensembl:lncRNA